rnacentral:rRNA from 1 species
GUCCACGCUGUAAACGAUGGGUGCUAGGUGUCGUGGGUAUUGACCCCUGCGGUGCCGAAGUUAACGCAUUAAGCACCCCGCCUGGGGAGUACGGCCGCAAGGCUAAAACUCAAAGGAAUUGACGGGGGCCCGCACAAGCGGUGGAGUAUGUGGUUUAAUUCGACGCAACGCGAAGAACCUUACCUGGGUUAAAUCCUUCAGAAUCCCCUAGAGAUAGGGGAGUGCCCGCAAGGGAGCUGGAUGGAAGGUGCUGCAUGGCUGUCGU